rnacentral:tRNA from 1 species
CGGGGCGUAGCGCAGUUGGUAGCGCACCUGGUUUGGGACCAGGAUGUCGCAGGUUCGAGUCCUGUCGCCCCGA